UGCCUGUAAGAUUGUUGUACAUAUUCAACACAUUAUCAAUUUGAGACAUUUUUACCUCAACGUUUGUCCAGUUUUAUUGGUGGCAGAGCUGAUUUGUACUGAUCUGAAGUGUCUCUUUCUCUUAACUACAGGGGUUGUUUGGUGAAAAGGGUCUAAAAGGGUAUAUAGGACAACAAGGCGCAAAGGGGAGAAGAGGAUCACCUGGGCUACCAGGAGCUCCAGGACCCCCUGGGAUGUCUUUGAACUUCACAGUAACACAACUGAAGGACCUCAUGUACUUGUCAGACAAGCCCAACUAUCCUCUGAUCAGAACCUUACUGGAGUCCCUACAACAGGACCUGCGUUUAUUUUUAGAUCCACCAGAGGGCACCAAAGAGCAUCCAGCCA
rnacentral:lncRNA from 1 species